UCUCACACCCACUACUUACGCGCCAGGCGCCUCUGUGGAUGCCACUCCACAGCCUCGUGUGUUAAGAGGCACACAAGAGCUGCCUGAUUGGCUCCCAAGCUCAGAACCAGGAGCUGGGGGAAAUCAUAGCGAAAUCUGAACCCGAUGUGGCCCCGUCGGCAUCACGCACACAGUCAGAGCAAAAUGACCUGCUCUUUAAUGUAGUUUAGUUUAGUUCAGUUGUCCUGCCCACCUGCUCCUGACCCUCCUGCCGCUGAGGGGUGGUAUUUGAAAGCACAGGGAGAUUUUGCACAGUGUUCCCAGGAGAAGGCCCAGCAAAAUUUGCGGCAAGAGGAAGUAAAAAUCCUGCCCCUGCCCCUUCUAUCCAUGCCUGCAGGCGGCUGCACAAACUUGUUUUCCCUGCAGCUGCUUGCACAUGUAAUGGUUUCCAGGAUAACCAGUGAGCUGGAACCGGCAAGUUAA
rnacentral:lncRNA from 1 species